UAUGAAAAAAAAAAAAAAAAAAAAAAAAAAGAGGAAAUAGAUAUAAUCUACUAACUUGUGCUUUUACUGAAAUUCCAAGUACCUACCGAACUACUGCACACAUUUCACUUGAAUCACAAACGUGGUUGAAUCAUCUCUCGCGAGUUUGCGUUUAUUUGCAAGUAAAUAGUAAAUGUGAAUAAUGUGAUUAUAAAUGAUUAGAAGACGGUGCGUAUAAAAUGCAAUCGAAUGGAGUUGAAAAUACAUUAAGGAAAAUUGCUGUCAUCGUGCUGAUUUGUAACGUGAUCAUUAAUACGGGUGAAUUUUCAUUAUAUCUCAAACUAGAAAAUUUGAAUUUCCUUAAGCCUAAUCCAGAUUUUACAAAAGAAAUAUGUGUCAAGGUAUUCGAAUUACUCCUGCUCAUGGUCGGAUUUUUAACGUUCCAGCAAAAAUCUCAUUCGUUGAUGACGAUUUUGGCGAAUUAUUUGGUGUGGGGAUUCGUUCAAUUAUUAUUUCUUUUCGAUACUUUGUUCGCUCUUUCAAACUCGUACACUUUACACCAUUGUUUUAAGAACGAAUCCCAGAAAUUCGUCAUAUUCGCAGACAAAAGUUCCGAAUACGCGGAUGGUGACGUUUGGCUGUCUUUUGGUAGUUAUAUUUUAAUGUGUGAUGUUGCACUCAAAGCAUUUGGCAUUUAUGCACUAAGCAGCUUAAAACGCGAUUUCGAUUUGAUAUGCGAGUCUUUAACGAGUGCUGAUUCUUCCAAACAAGGUGUUCCACUUGAACAUGUGAACCAAGGUUUCCAAGGAAUAGAACGCAAGGAUUAGAUGCGAAUUUGGAGCUGAGUCAAAUAUUUGCGUCAGCCUAGAAUGAAAAUAAAACUGCAUUAUUUACAAAAACUUCAGUAUUUGCUUCACGAUGAAAAGUUCCUCAAUAUACUUUGAAGAUAUUCCUUGUUUAUAUUUUUUGAAAAUUUCUGAUAAACAUUUUUUCACAAUAAAUAUGGUACAUUUUUGUGUCAAAAUUGUAAUCGAACAGGUGCUUUUGGAAAAAAAAGUAAAAUUAUGCAAUUAUAAUAUUUAUUAAUACUUGAAAAAAAUGGCUCAAUUUUUCAAUUCAAAUUCUGAUGGGUUGAAUAGAAAUUAGGUACAUAUAUCCUUUUUUCAAUCAGUAUAUAGCUUCUCACUGUACUCUGUAUAUGUAGCAUAGGUAUGUUCAAAGCAAUAAUCAGAUGUGAACAAUGCUCCCUUCCUCUCCAUACCUUGAUUAUUAGGAACUUUCAUAUGAAAUAAGGUACGCUGACUUCAAUUGCCUUACAUGCACUAUCUCGAAAUUCAAUGCAUCACUCUAGGACUUACCUACCUACUUCUAUCUAUAAAAACAACAUCAAAAAUUUUCGGACCAUAUUUGGUAAAAUAUCUAACACAGAACUUCUGUGACUAAAAAAAAAAAAACCUGAAUCAGCCAGUUGUGUUUUUAUGUAUUUUGACUCAAUUUUCUAGUUUUAUAUCAAAAUCACACGAUCGAUGCGACUUCCAAUGAUAAAAAUAAAAAUUCAGAUGUCGUUUGUUUACACGAGGAAGAUAUUUCUCAAUUCCUGCAUCAGCCUCUGACAAAAUGAAUAUUAGGUAAUUCAUGCACCAGAAAUUAUCAUAGGUGUAAUCUCUUGGUAAAAAAAUAAGUAGAGGUAAGUAAUCGUGGCUCAAUUUUUUUUUUUAAUGAUCAUACAAGGUACCUAUACUUAUACAUCGUACCCAGAUAACUAUUAUUAAAUAUUAUUCACAGCGUUACAAAUAACAUCUAUUUCGUGGAAAAUAUGUAUGGUAAAAGUGUCGCCAACUCAUCUGAAAAACGGUACCUCAUCAAUUUUAUCACAUCGAAUUUCCGCUUUUUCGAAUUCAUCAUACCAUCAUGCACUAAUCAUGGAACCGAUCAUUAGAUUUAUAUUUUAUUUGUGUCACUGAUGUGAUACGGAACGUUUUUAAUGAUAGUUUGUUAUUUUACGAGACAUUUUUUAAACAGAUUGAAAGCAUCCAAAAUGCCGUUGAUUGCAUCUCCGAGACAUGCUACGAUCGUGUUGUUCGCUAAUGUGUUUAUAAACUUGUACGUGUUGAAAGUAUACAUGACUCUGGAAGAUCACAUCGAUAAAAGUCAUAGACCAGAGUUCACGCGAGGAAAAUUCAUCAGGGUGCUGGAAUUGAUUUUAACAACGAUCGGAUGCAUAAUCAUUGAACAAGAUUAUCGUAGUUUUGUUAAGAACCUGAUGAAACAAGUCAUAUUAGUGCUUCUUAUCACCAUGCUUAUAGUCGAUUCAUUAUUUGUGAUCAUAUUUGCAGUUGUUCUAUCGUCGAAAGGACCAAGCUUAGACAAAGACGAGAACGAACUUCGGUUAGCAGGAUCUUUUGUUUUUUAUUUCGAUUACAUAUACAAGAUAUUCACCAUUUUCAUAGUGUGCAGCUUCACCAAAGAUUUUGCAUCGAUGAUAAAUUUAUUACCGGAUGACAAUACCUCGGAAAACAAUAUGUUGAUCGAAAAUGAAGAAAGUUCUCCACCACCUUCGUAUGAAGAAUGUGUGCAGAUAUUAAGUGAACCACCUCCAUAUAGUGAGAUUAGUAAAGCUGAAGUGGAUUGAAGGACAACUUAAGAAAUGCAUUCCUGAAUGUUUCAAUUAGUCAUAGAUUUGCAUCAGUCCCUUCGUUUAUUUUUUAUUUUAUUUUUUGGAUGGGAAAGCUUAGUGAUAAACUCCAUUAUUAAGCAUAGAAAAUUUAGUCGAUUUUUUAAAAUGAUUUUUAAAUUAAAAUAUUUUCA